rnacentral:rRNA from 1 species
UGUUUAUAAAAAUUUUAUUUUGAAUAAACAUUUAUUACCGAAGGGGUUUUAGGUAAACUAACUAAAUAGUAAAUCGUACUUUUUGCAUAACGGCUAUUCCAGAAGUAAAUCAAAUUUUAUUUUCCCGAAAUGAGAAGAUCUAAAUUAUCUAAACUUUUAUUAGAAAAUAAGAAGUUAUGUGUCAUUAUAACACUGAGAUUUUAAUUUAGGGGCGAAAAACCUACAAUUCUUAUGAUAUCUGGAUGUUCACGAAAAGUAUUUAGUACUAAAGACAAACAAUAAGUGCUUAGAUUUAUUGUAGAGAGCAUAGUAAAUUAAUAACAGGUUUUUAGGGUUAACACUUGUAUUUAACUGAAGAAAAAAAAAAAUUAAUUUUGGUCAUUAAUCUCUGUUUUUAGUGAACUUCCAUGUUAACUGAAACUUGGUUAUUUAUGAUUAGAUGAGUAAUGCUAAAAAAUAGGGAAAAGGAAUUCGGCAAAUUCUUAUCUCACCAGUUUAUCAAAAACAUAGCCUAGAGGAAAUUAUUCUAGGUGAAGCCUGCCCAGUGAUUUAAUUUAACGGCCGCGGUACUUUGACCGUGCUAAGGUAGCGUAAUCAGUUGACUUUUAAAUGAAGUCUUGUAUGAAUGGAUUUAUGGGAUUAAGCUGUCUCUUCCCUACUCUAUUGAAAUUACUAACUAGGUGAAAAGGCCUAUAAAUGAAAAAGGACGAGAAGACCCUUAGAGUUUUAAUAACGAUUUUUGUUGGGGCGACAAGAAGACAUCUAUAACUCUUCUAGUAUAAAACUCACUUGCCGGUUUUUUCAAGUAUGGAUAAACUACCUGAGGGAUAACAGCAUAAUCCAUUAAUGG